rnacentral:rRNA from 1 species
UACAGAGGUCCCAAGCGUUGUUCGGAUUCACUGGGCGUAAAGGGUGCGUAUGCGGUCGGGUAAGUCUGAUGUGAAAUCUCACAGCUUAACUGUGAAACUGCAUUGGAUACUAUCCGGCUCGAGGAAUGGAGGGGAGACUGGAAUACUUGGUGUAGCAGUGAAAUGCGUAGAUAUCAAGUGGAACACCAGUGGCGAAGGCGAGUCUCUGGACAUUUCCUGACGCUGAGGCACGAAAGCCAGGGGAGCAAACGGG